rnacentral:rRNA from 1 species
ACUUAAAUUGAAGAGUUUGAUCAUGGCUCAGAUUGAACGCUGGCGGCAGGCCUAACACAUGCAAGUCGAACGGUAGCACAGAGAGCUUGCUCUCGGGUGACGAGUGGCGGACGGGUGAGUAAUGUCUGGGAAACUGCCUGAUGGAGGGGGAUAACUACUGGAAACGGUAGCUAAUACCGCAUAACGUCGCAAGACCAAAGAGGGGGACCUUCGGGCCUCUUGCCAUCAGAUGUGCCCAGAUGGGAUUAGCUAGUAGGUGGGGUAACGGCUCACCUAGGCGACGAUCCCUAGCUGGUCUGAGAGGAUGACCAGCCACACUGGAACUGAGACACGGUCCAGACUCCUACGGGAGGCAGCAGUGGGGAAUAUUGCACAAUGGGCGCAAGCCUGAUGCAGCCAUGCCGCGUGUAUGAAGAAGGCCUUCGGGUUGUAAAGUACUUUCAGCGGGGAGGAAGGUGUUGUGGUUAAUAACCGCAGCAAUUGACGUUACCCGCAGAAGAAGCACCGGCUAACUCCGUGCCAGCAGCCGCGGUAAUACGGAGGGUGCAAGCGUUAAUCGGAAUUACUGGGCGUAAAGCGCACGCAGGCGGUCUGUCAAGUCGGAUGUGAAAUCCCCGGGCUCAACCUGGGAACUGCAUUCGAAACUGGCAGGCUAGAGUCUUGUAGAGGGGGGUAGAAUUCCAGGUGUAGCGGUGAAAUGCGUAGAGAUCUGGAGGAAUACCGGUGGCGAAGGCGGCCCCCUGGACAAAGACUGACGCUCAGGUGCGAAAGCGUGGGGAGCAAACAGGAUUAGAUACCCUGGUAGUCCACGCCGUAAACGAUGUCGACUUGGAGGUUGUGCCCUUGAGGCGUGGCUUCCGGAGCUAACGCGUUAAGUCGACCGCCUGGGGAGUACGGCCGCAAGGUUAAAACUCAAAUGAAUUGACGGGGGCCCGCACAAGCGGUGGAGCAUGUGGUUUAAUUCGAUGCAACGCGAAGAACCUUACCUACUCUUGACAUCCAGAGAACUUAGCAGAGAUGCUUUGGUGCCUUCGGGAACUCUGAGACAGGUGCUGCAUGGCUGUCGUCAGCUCGUGUUGUGAAAUGUUGGGUUAAGUCCCGCAACGAGCGCAACCCUUAUCCUUUGUUGCCAGCGGUCCGGCCGGGAACUCAAAGGAGACUGCCAGUGAUAAACUGGAGGAAGGUGGGGAUGACGUCAAGUCAUCAUGGCCCUUACGAGUAGGGCUACACACGUGCUACAAUGGCGCAUACAAAGAGAAGCGAACUCGCGAGAGCAAGCGGAUCUCAUAAAGUGCGUCGUAGUCCGGAUUGGAGUCUGCAACUCGACUCCAUGAAGUCGGAAUCGCUAGUAAUCGUAGAUCAGAAUGCUACGGUGAAUACGUUCCCGGGCCUUGUACACACCGCCCGUCACACCAUGGGAGUGGGUUGCAAAAGAAGUAGGUAGCUUAACCUUCGGGAGGGCGCUUACCACUUUGUGAUUCAUGACUGGGGUGAAGUCGUAACAAGGUAACCGUAGGGGAACCUGCGGUUGGAUCACCUCCUUACCUUAAAGAA